rnacentral:rRNA from 1 species
GACGAACGCUGGCGGCGUGCCUAAUACAUGCAAGUCGAACGCUGAAGGAGGAUCUUGCUUCUCCGGAUGAGUUGCGAACGGGUGAGUAACGCGUAGGUAACCUGCCUGGUAGCGGGGGAUAACUAUUGGAAACGAUAGCUAAUACCGCAUAACAGUAUAUAUUGCAUGAUAUCUGCUUGAAAUGUGCAAUUGCAUCACUACCAGAUGGACCUGCUUUGUAUUAGCUAGUUGGUGGGGUAACGGCUCACCAAGGCGACGAUACAUAGCCGACCUGAGAGGGUGAUCGGCCACACUGGGACUGAGACACGGCCCAGACUACUACGGGAGGCAGCAGUAGGGAAUCUUCGGCAAUGGAAGGAAGUCUGACCGAGCAACGCCGCGUGAGUGAAGAAGGUUUUCGGAUCGUAAAGCUCUGUUGUAAGAGAAGAACGAGUGUGAGAGUGGAAAGUUCACACUGUGACGGUAUCUUAACAGAAAGGGACGGCUAACUACGUG